rnacentral:rRNA from 1 species
UUGCGGUUAAAAAGCUCGUAGUUGGAUUUCUGUCGAGGGCGGGCGGUCCGCACUAUGUGCGUGUAUCUUGUUCGGUCUUGGCAUCCUCUUGGGGAAUGCUUCUGUGCUUGAUUGCAUGGGGUGGAAUUCAAGACUUUUACUUUGAGGAAAUUAGAGUGUUCACGGCAAGCUACCGCUUUGAAUACAUUAGCAUGGAAUAAUAAUAUAGGGCGUAAGUUCUAUUUUGUUGGUUUCUAGGACAUACGCAAUGAUUAAUAGGGACAAUUGGGGGCAUUCGUAUUAACGCGUCAGAGGUGGAAUUCUUAGAUUGCGUUACGACGAACUACUGCGAAAGCAUUUGCCAAAGAUGUUUUCAUUGAUCAAGAACGAAAGUAUGGGGAUCGAAGACGAUUAGAUACCGUCGUAGUCUAUACCAUAAACUAUGCCAAUUAGAGAUUGGGCGUCGUUCGUUUUAUGACUCGCUCAGCACCCCUUAUGAGAAAUCAAAAUU